rnacentral:rRNA from 1 species
CCUACGGGUGGCUGCAGUGGGGAAUAUUGCACAAUGGGCGCAAGCCUGAUGCAGCCAUGCCGCGUGUGUGAAGAAGGCCUUCGGGUUGUAAAGCACUUUCAGCGGGGAGGAAGGCGGUGAGGUUAAUAACCUCAUCGAUUGACGUUACCCGCAGAAGAAGCACCGGCUAACUCCGUGCCAGCAGCCGCGGUAAUACGGAGGGUGCAAGCGUUAAUCGGAAUUACUGGGCGUAAAGCGCACGCAGGCGGUCUGUCAAGUCGGAUGUGAAAUCCCCGGGCUCAACCUGGGAACUGCAUUCGAAACUGGCAGGCUAGAGUCUUGUAGAGGGGGGUAGAAUUCCAGGUGUAGCGGUGAAAUGCGUAGAGAUCUGGAGGAAUACCGGUGGCGAAGGCGGCCCCCUGGACAAAGACUGACGCUCAGGUGCGAAAGCGUGGGGAGCAGACAGGAUUAGAUACCCCUGUAGUC